UGCCCAGAAGGCUCUGGAAGAGGUACCGGUACAGCCGGGCUUCAAUGCGCAGAAGGUGGAGGGGCGCUGGCUCACCCUGCAGCUGGCAGCCAACCACGCAGACCUGGUCUCCCCGGCCGACCCCCUGAGGCUCGCUCUCCACUCCAUCCGGACCAGGGACGGCGGGGACGUGGACUUCGUGCUGUUCUGGAAGUAAGCACGG
rnacentral:lncRNA from 1 species